UAAUACGGAGGGUGCAAGCGUUAUCCGGAUUCACUGGGUUUAAAGGGUGUGUAGGCGGGCUGUUAAGUCAGUGGUGAAAUCCCCGGGCUCAACCUGGGAACUGCCGUUGAUACUAUCAGUCUUGAAUUCUGUUGAGGUGGGCGGAAUACAUCAUGUAGCGGUGAAAUGCUUAGAUAUGAUGUAGAACACCGAUUGCGAAGGCAGCUCACUAAGCAGCGAUUGACGCUGAGGCACGAAAGCGUGGGGAUCAAACAGGAUUAGAUACCCUGGUAGUCCACGCCCUAAACGAUGAUUACUCGACAUAUGCGAUACACUGUAUGUGUCUGAGCGAAAGCAUUAAGUAAUCCACCUGGGAAGUACGACCGCAAGGUUGAAACUUAAAUGAAUUGACGG
rnacentral:rRNA from 1 species